rnacentral:rRNA from 1 species
AUUGAACGCUGGCGGCAGGCCUAACACAUGCAAGUCGAGCGAGUGGCGGACGGGUGAGUAAUGUCUGGGAAUCUGCCUGAUGGCGGGGGAUAACUACUGGAAACGGUAGCUAAUACCGCAUACCAUCAGAUGAACCCAUAUGGGAUUAGCUUGUAGGUGGGGUAAAGGCUCACCAAGGCGACGAUCCCUAGCUGGUCUGAGAGGAUGACCAGCCACACUGGAACUGAGACACGGUCCAGACUCCUACGGGAGGCAGCAGUGGGGAAUAUUGCACAAUGGGCGCAAGCCUGACGCAGCCAUGCCGCGUGUAUGAAGAAGGCCUUCGGGUUGUAAAGUUCUUUCAGCGGGGAGGCGUUAACUGCAGAAGAAGCACCGGCUAACUCCGUGCCAGCAGCCGCGGUAAUUC